GAGUGACAGGUGGUGCAUGGUAAUAAGUCAGCUCGUGUCGUGAGAUGUUGGGUUAAGUCCCGCAACGAGCGCAACCCUUGAUCUUAGUUGCCAGCAUUCAGUUGGGCACUCUAAGGUGACUGCCGGUGACAAACCGGAGGAAGGUGGGGAUGACGUCAAAUCAUCAUGCCCCUUAUGACCUGGGCUACACACGUGCUACAAUGGAUGGUACAAAGGGCUGCAAAACCGCGAGGUUAAGCCAAUCCCAUAAAACCAUUCUCAGUUCGGAUUGUAGGCUGCAACUCGCCUACAUGAAGCCGGAAUCGCUAGUAAUCGCGGAUCAGCAUGCCGCGGUGAAUACGUUCCCGGGCCUUGUACACACCGCCCGUCACACCACGAGAGUUUGUAACACCCGAAGUCGGUGGGGUAACCGUAAGGAGCCAGCCGCCUAAAGGUUAAAGCCG
rnacentral:rRNA from 1 species